rnacentral:rRNA from 1 species
AAUAGCUCAAAUUUGAAAUCUGGCUCUAGGGUCCGAGUUGUAAUUUGUAGAGGAUGUUUCGGGUGCGCCCGCAGUUUAAGUUCCUUGGAACAGGACGUCAUAGAGGGUGAGAAUCCCGUCUUGAACUGUACGGCAAGUCCAUGUGAAACUCCUUCGACGAGUCGAGUUGUUUGGGAAUGCAGCUCAAAAUGGGAGGUAAAUUUCUUCUAAAGCUAAAUAUUGGCCAGAGACCGAUAGCGCACAAGUAGAGUGAUCGAAAGAUGAAAAGCACUUUGAAAAGAGAGUUAAACAGUAUGUGAAAUUGUUAAAAGGGAAGCGUUUGCAACCAGACUUGUUUCUAACAGUUCUACCGCAGUUCUCUGUGGCUUAUUCUGUUAGUCCAGGCCAGCAUCAGUUUGGGUGGCUCGUUAAAGACUUUGGGAAUGUAUCUACUCCUUCGGGUGUAGACUUAUAGCCCAUUGUGUAAUAGGGUCUACCUGGACUGAGGUACGCGCAUUGCUCGGAUGCUGGCGUAAU